GGAGAGGUGCGAGAGCGGUUGAAUCGGUCCGCCUGGAGAGCGGAUGUACCCCAAAAGGGUACCCAGGGUUCGAAUCCCUGCCUCUCCG
rnacentral:tRNA from 1 species